rnacentral:lncRNA from 1 species
GGGGGCACGUUCCUUGUCUCUUUUUCAAUUCUCUCCUCAGGAUUGUUCCCUGCUUAGCUAAAGGUUUCCGCAUAAGGGAGUCGCAAUCUCCGCGUAGCGUUAACCGUUAACUAGCACUCCCUUGUGACCCUCCAAACCACAGCCUCCGCGGAGUCCCCCAGGCAACGUACCUGUCACGAGGCUGGUGCCGAAAUUCGCCCUCUACAUUUUGCCCCUGCCUAAUAGAAGCAUCUGGGUCACGCGCUUCUGUCAGGAAUGCAGCAGAGGGUGGUGGAGCCUCCCUGCAUCUUCUUCGAAUAACUUUGAUAGAGCGAGUGGCUGCAUCUAUGAAGCUUGAAUCUAUCAAGCUAGUGUAGAUAUGGCUCGAGGAGCUUCAAAACCUUUCGAAUGGAGCUAGUGAGAGGAGAGCUUAUCAUCCAACAUGCUUCACUUCAUUUAAAUCACCAUGUUCCUUGCAUGAAAGAAACAAAUUGUCAAUUAGAACCUGGGCAAGAUCACAAAAUCAGUCGUACAUUAUUUUCUUAUCGCCAUUUAUAAUAUCUACUUUAAUUCUCA